rnacentral:rRNA from 1 species
CGAUUCCCUUAGUAGCGGCGAGCGAAACGGGAACAGCCCAGCGCAUAAUCUCCCAGGCUACCAAGCCUGCGGCGAAAUGUUGCGUUAAGGGAAUGGUCGCUAACAGCCUCGUACGCCCGUAGAUGUUGCCUAAUCGCGUUCUGAAAUGUUCGCGCAUGUUGGGUGCUACGUCUCUCGGGAUGAAUCGCUCAACUCACGGUACCGUGGAGGGUGCAAGCCCCGUUCGGCCGCGUGUUGCGUGCGAAGGCUAGAUCAUUUUCCCGGAGAGUCGCGUUGUUUGAACAUACAGCGCUAAGCAGGUGGUAAACUCCACCUAAGGCUAAAUAUGUCCACAGAACCGAUAGCUUACAAGUACCGCGAGGGAAAGUUGAAAAGUACUCUGGAGAGAGGGUGCAAAGACCGUGAAACCAUCCAGGGCAAAAGCCAAUGUCGAGUAUCCUAGUUGCGCUGGGACCACCCUUCGGGGUGUAGGUGAGCAUGUUCGUAGUUUUCGAAUAUCUGGCGCUUGUACGUGUUGGAUUCGAUGACUCGUUCAUAAUUGCUUGCCUCUCGAGUCCAUUAACAGCCCAUCGGAACUCUUGUUAGACCAUUCGUGGUAGUGUGCGUCUGAUCUCUGUACGUUCGUUUAGGGUAUGUUUGUCAACGAUUGCCCGCGUCAGAGGAAUCCCUCCUAGUAGUCUUCGGACGAAAUGAGCUCCUUUACGCGCCGGUGUGAAUAUGGCUUUCAAGGCGAACUACCUGAGCAUACGGAACUUACGCGCGUUGCCAAUACGUUUUUGGUUCUCGACGAGAGUUUAACAGACGCUUCUCGUGGCCCAAACCUGAUCCAACGUGCUAUUUGCAACGAACGGUUGGGAAGAAGCUGCGGGAAAGAUACGAUGGUAUGCCUAGGCGACAUUGGUCACGUCUCGAAACACGGGCCAAGGAGCAUAGCGUAAAGGCAAGUCGCAAGGUUUUACAAAACCUCGUGGCGAGUGAAAGCGAGUGGCGAUCGAUUAGUUUCGUUCGUAGGUGGGAUGUCUUGCGUUCCAGCAAUGAGUCGCUGGGCAUUUCUGCCGUCUUGUACAGAGCUGAUCCUCCAGUUCCUCGGAACGAAAAGGCGCAAGCUCCGGGCUCGCUCGUUGUCGCUUACAGGGAACUUGUUCCUUGUAGUGGCUGAGAGAGCACUGAUUAGACUUUCCGCUAUAACCCGAAAGAUAGUGAACUAUGCUUGGCGAAGACGAAGCCCCAGGAAACUGUGGUGGAAGUCUGUAGCCGUUGUGACGUGCAAAUCCAUGGUGUCAGCUGAGCAUAGGGGCGAAAGACCAAUCGAACUAUCUAGUAGCUGGUUCCGUUCGAAGUUUCUCUCAGGAUAGCUUGCGCGAUGCAUACGCUCUUGUCUAAACUCUCGUUCGCAUAAGUGAUCGAGUGUUUGCCUUGAAAGUCUGAAGCAAUUGAGACGUGCGACUUGUCAUCUCGUUCUCUUCAUUCUCAGAGCCAGGGUAGCGGAAUUAUUUAUUUGCAGUUACGUCUGGUAAAGAGAAUGAGUAGAGUUGGCUCGUUGGUCUUUUUGCAUCAACGGCAGCGGGGCGUUUUACGCCUCGCACUAUUAUCAAACUUUAAAUGGGCGUGAAACCUGGCAUUGACUUAACUGCUUGAUGCUAGGAAUGACAUAUGCGCGCGCUUCUGCGCGUGCAUGGAGAAUGCUCCCGCGUUAAGUGGGUCCGUUCUGGUAAGCAGAACUGAUAAUGAGGGAUGAACCUAACGCAUGUGAUAAGGGGCCAAAAUGACAGCUAUUUCUCGAAACCAUUGGAAAGGUGUUGCUUGCUGAAGACAGCAGGACGGUGGUCAUGGAAGUUGACAUCCGCUAAGGAGUGUGUAACAACUCAUCCUGCCGAAGCGAGUAACCCUGAAAAUGGAUGGCUCUAUAGCUCUCUCCCGAUGCACAGCCGUUAACGGCACGAGAGACCCUGUGUCUCAACGCCUUAACGUGUAGAAUGGCGUGCUGGUAAGCGUUGAAGGCCUUUGCGUGAGCUUGGCCCGAGCUGCCAGCAGUGCAGAUCUUGGUGGUAGUAGCAAGUACUCUGGUGAAUAACCUUGAGCUGUGAGGUUGAUAAGGGUUCCAUGUCAACAGCGUUUGAACAUGGGUAAGCCGGUCCUAAGCUCCCUUUAUGUUUGAAGGUGAUUGCUUUUGCGAGAGCGUACUUAGUACUACUGAYAUCACACUGUCGAACCGUAGAUUCUUCCUGUUGCGUCUCUUGCACUCACGAACGGAUCGUCUUCCGAGUCGAGUCGGUGUUUCACGAACGAGCUUUGCGAAGCUAUCGGCUGCGCCUAGCAUCUAUUAGUGCCCGUACGAGUCUCUACGACGAUUACUAUUAGGAGUGCUCGGUCCUUGGAAAGUUUUUUACGCCUUCGAAAGGUGUGCAGUGGGAAACGUUGCUUUAGCGUAGCUUGGCGAAAGGGAAAUGUGAACUCAGUUCAUAUGCCUCUCCUGGCACCCUGAAACGGCUUGCCGUGACACGGACCUAGCGAUAGCUGCCAGGCCAGUCGUUGUCAUAAGUAGCUCAGCGGGGAGAUUUCUUCUCUCUUUGAUAGGGCUCGUAACUCUGAAAACACCUCGCGUGGCGGAAGAGUGAUGCCUUGUAUAGCAGAGUACUCUGGUCCCUCGAGUAGUCUGACGCUACUUGUGAUCCGUGAAAAGGUGGCCGAGGGGAUACAAUCAAAGGUGUACGCGAGGACCGUGGCGAUUUUAUUAUUGCCUAACGUUCUUGCGUUACUACACUUUACUAGAGUGUUAGCCACGGAGUGACCGUACCCAUUUCCGCAUCCGUCUCAAA